rnacentral:lncRNA from 1 species
UGACUAGCCAAUGCCUGAAAUAAUGAACUCCUCCAAGGCAAGAAAUCUGUUUUGAAGCUUCUCUGCGUUCACACACAGCAGCCUGGUUUCCUGGAAGGGCAUUUUCCACAUUGUGCGUUAUGGAUGAUCAUCCCAGGCAUCAGGUGUGAAGCCCUGCAUCCACAUCCAGGGGCUAUCAAAUCUCUCUGCAAAAGGAGAAGCUGGACUCAGGCACGUUUACAGUGAUGUGUAUGCAGGGUAUGCACAGAUGUGGAAACAGGAACUGAUGUGUCCAUUACACCACUAGGACAGAGGCCAGAACAAUGAAGAAACCAAAUACUUGGAAGAGGGUAGAGAUAAUGAAUGGAGUCCAAGAGCCCUGAUUGUGCCAUAAAUGUCCAGAUAAUUCCAUACCUGAGGAUUAUGUGGUUUGUAAACUUGGCACUUAGAAGAACCAAUAAAAUCAUGUUAUAGUUUC